rnacentral:rRNA from 1 species
AAUAGAUACCCUGGUAGUCCACGCCGUAAACGAUGAGUGCUAAGUGUUAGAGGGUUUCCGCCCUUUAGUGCUGCAGCUAACGCAUUAAGCACUCCGCCUGGGGAGUACGGCCGCAAGGCUGAAACUCAAAGGGAAUUGAUGGGGGCCCGCACAAGCGGUGGAGCAUGUGGUUUAAUUCGAAGCAACGCGAAGAACCUUACCAGGUCUUGACAUCCUCUGACACUCCUAGAGAUAGGACGUUCCCCUUCGGGGGACAGAGUGACAGGUGGUGCAUGGUUGUCGUCAGCUCGUGUCGUGAGAUGUUGGGUUAAGUCCCGCAACGAGCGCAACCCUUGAUCUUAGUUGCCAGCAUUCAGUUGGGCACUCUAAGGUGACUGCCGGUGACAAACCGGAGGAAGGUGGGGAUGACGUCAAAUCAUCAUGCCCCUUAUGACCUGGGCUACACACGUGCUACAAUGGACGGUACAAAGGGCUGCAAAACCGCAAGGUCUAGCCAAUCCCAUAAAACCAUUCUCAGUUCGGAUUGUAGG